UUCCAUCUGCCAAUUCCCUACCUUCUCACUGCAGUGGAAGCCAGCUAAAAAUCUCCAAGCAGAGAAAAUAAGAUAUUUCCCCCAUAUUAGCAGCUCUGCUCAAUGUACUCCAUUCUACCUUUACAAAUAAAACCUCCACUCCAAGAGGACAUGGCUCUUGAUAAAGUCAAGGAGAAACUUGUGGCAGUUUGAUCAAAGCUGUUAGAUCAUGCCAAAAGAGUUAACAAGAUGGAGUUUAAGUUUGAGUUCCUGGGGCUGAUAUAGGCUCUCAAUAAGCCAUGGCAUACAGCUCCUGCCAGAUGGACAGGGAUCAUGGAGGUGGUGGAAGUUUCAGUAGAUCAUGGAGAAGGCUACCGAGAACCAAGGAGGAAAUAAAAUCUAAAUACAAUAGAAAGAGUUUAAAUGAAUCUGGAAUUCAAGAAGUUUCUGAGGCAAGUAUGAAAAUCUAGAAUAAGAGACAGAGAUCAAAGAAAAAUCUAAAUGUUGAUGAAAUCUAACAAAGGAUGUUCAGAUGAAAUCUUAUAUUAAUGGUUACAGAAAUUUGCUUCUAUGUCUAAGUAUACCUUCUGAGUAUGUAGGUGUUGAUUUAGCUAAAACAGAUAAUGUCAGGAUGAAAAGGUAUGAAAUAAAUAUCACAAAAAAUAUGCUUUUAUGAAUGAAAACCCAAUACAAGCAGUCUUUAAAUACUAUUGCCUCUAAAAGUGGAGAAGGCAAUGGCACCCCACUCCAGUACUCUUGCCUGGAAAAUCCCAUGGAUGGAGGUGCCUGGUGGGCUGCAGUCCAUGGGGUCGCUAAGAGUCGGACACGACUGAGCGACUUCACUUUCACUUUUCACUUUCAUAGAUCGGAGAAGGAAAUGGCAAUCACUCCAGUGUUCUUGCCUGGAGAAUCCCAGGGACGGGGGAGCCUGGUGCGAGGUCGUGGGGUCACACAGAGUUGGACACAACUGAAGCGACGCAGCAGCAGCAGCAGCAGCCUCUAAAAUUACCUAUGACUUUUGGAGACAUGACCGA
ensembl:lncRNA